rnacentral:rRNA from 1 species
AGAGUUUGAUCAUGGCUCAGAUUGAACGCUGGCGGCAGGCUUAACACAUGCAAGUCGAGCGGAAACGAUGAUAGCUUGCUAUCAGGCGUCGAGCGGCGGACGGGUGAGUAAUACUUAGGAAUCUACCUAGUAGUGGGGGAUAGCUCGGGGAAACUCGAAUUAAUACCGCAUACGACCUACGGGAGAAAGGGGGCAACUUGUUGCUCUCGCUAUUAGAUGAGCCUAAGUCGGAUUAGCUAGAUGGUGGGGUAAAGGCCUACCAUGGCGACGAUCUGUAGCUGGUCUGAGAGGAUGAUCAGCCACACCGGGACUGAGACACGGCCCGGACUCCUACGGGAGGCAGCAGUGGGGAAUAUUGGACAAUGGGGGCAACCCUGAUCCAGCCAUGCCGCGUGUGUGAAGAAGGCCUUUUGGUUGUAAAGCACUUUAAGCAGUGAAGAAGACUCCAUGGUUAAUACCCAUGGACGAUGACAUUAGCUGCAGAAUAAGCACCGGCUAACUCUGUGCCAGCAGCCGCGGCAAUACAGAGGGUGCAAGCGUUAAUCGGAAUUACUGGGCGUAAAGCGAGCGUAGGUGGCUUGAUAAGUCAGAUGUGAAAUCCCCGGGCUUAACCUGGGAACUGCAUCUGAUACUGUUAGGCUAGAAUAGGUGAGAGGAAGGUAGAAUUCCAGGUGUAGCGGUGAAAUGCGUAGAGAUCUGGAGGAAUACCGAUGGCGAAGGCAGCCUUCUGGCAUCAUAUUGACACUGAGGUUCGAAAGCGUGGGUAGCAAACAGGAUUAGAUACCCUGGUAGUCCACGCCGUAAACGAUGUCUACUAGUCGUUGGGUCCCUUGAGGACUUAGUGACGCAGCUAACGCAAUAAGUAGACCGCCUGGGGAGUACGGCCGCAAGGUUAAAACUCAAAUGAAUUGACGGGGGCCCGCACAAGCGGUGGAGCAUGUGGUUUAAUUCGAUGCAACGCGAAGAACCUUACCUGGUCUUGACAUAUCUAGAAUCCUGCAGAGAUGCGGGAGUGCCUUCGGGAAUUAGAAUACAGGUGCUGCAUGGCUGUCGUCAGCUCGUGUCGUGAGAUGUUGGGUUAAGUCCCGCAACGAGCGCAACCCUUGUCUUUAGUUACAGCGGG